ensembl:snRNA U1 U1 spliceosomal RNA
AUACUUACCUGGCAGGGGAAAUAACCAUGAUUACGAAGGUGGUUUUCCCAGGGCGAGGCUUAUCCAUUGUACUCUAGAUGUGCUGACCCCUGCGAUUUCCCCAAAUGUGGGAAAUUGGACUGCAUAAUUUGUGGUAGUGGGGAACUGUGUUUGCGCUUUCCCCUG